GCGAACUGCGAUAAGUAAUGUGAAUUGCAGAAUUCAGUGAAUCAUCGAGUCUUUGAACGCACAUUGCGCCCCCUGGCAUUCCGGGGGGCAUGCCUGUCCGAGCGUCAUUGCUGCCCUUCAAGCCCGGCUUGUGUGUUGGGUCGUCGUCCCCUCCGGGGGACGGGCCCGAAAGGCAGCGGCGGCACCGCGUCCGGUCCUCGAGCGUAUGGGGCUUUGUCACCCGCUCGAUAAGGACCGGCCGGGCGCCAGCCGGCGUCUCCAACCUUUUUUUCUCAGGCUGACCUCGGAUCAGGUAGGGAUACCCGCUGAACUUAA
rnacentral:misc_RNA from 1 species